GCAUAUAUAGUUCUUUUUGGGACCCCAUAUACUUUAGCCGCUUUGUGUGCAGUCAUUUGGCCUGACAUCACCAUUUCUAAUGCUUCUUUUAAUGCAUUCCUAGGGUAAUUCUUUCUAGUCUUUUUUGUUUUCACUAUACACACUGAAAUACAUAAAUUAGUUUUGUUAAAAUUUUAUUCCUUUUUUCAUUUACUCUUUACAAGUUUCCAUUUCUCUGAGGUUU
rnacentral:lncRNA from 1 species